ACCAAACUGAUGACAACAACCCUUAUAUAACUCCUAAAAUCACCUCCCACUAGGAAUGUUUAGCACCUGGGUAGGCCUAUGCUUAUUUGCAAACAAUAGCUAAUUAACCAGCAGUCAAUAGGAAGUAGCUAACUAAUCAAAUUAAAUGCCUUAUAAUUACCAACAGGAAAUCAAACCUUGUGCAAUCAGUAAACUUUUCCUACAGAUGAAUCUUACCUGUAACAGUAGAAAAG